rnacentral:misc_RNA from 1 species
AAAAAAGAAAAAAGAAAAAAAAAACACACACACACAUAAUGUUGAUGCUCCAUGAUCAACAUAUAUGAGCUCAUUAUGUAAACACAUAUAGCCUACUCCACAUGGUUAGAAGAAAUGCAAUCCACAGGUGAAGGUUAGAACUAAAGUGGUUCCAACUGAUGGUUACGAAAGGAAAAUUUGUUCCACAAUUUGAAACUGAGAUUAACAAGAGAAACUUGAGUAUAUGGAUUUUGCAUAGACUAGACUUGACUUUGGUUUGGAAUUUAAAUACAGCUAGGACCUAAAAAAGAAAACAAAUAAAGCCACCACCCAAAUAACUGUACAGGUUUGAAAUUAAAGCCCAGUUUUAGAGCAGACCAGCUAUUUCAAAUCCACAUAGUCACUGUAGGAAGAUUAGGGCUAUAGGAAUAAAUAAUUAGAAGAUCUAACUUGAAUAAAUUGAAGAAGAGAAAAUGUGUUAAUUAGAAUGAAUAAUUACAAAAGAGAGCUAAGCCUAUUUAUAUACAAACAAAUCAUGCCAAAAAGGAAGAAUAGUUGGUGACCUUAUUCUAAGGAUCAAUAGGCCAAAACUAAGGUAAUUAAUAUUAACAGUCUUCAACUAAAAAUUAAAACACAGUUCCUUUCAGUUUGUGGAAAUCUUAAAACUCUCAUGUCAGAAACUGGAAAAGGA